GCCCCAGUGGCGCAAUCGGUCAGCGCGCGGUACUUAUAGGGCAGUGGCUGUGAGCGAUGCCGAGGUUGCGAGUUCGAGCCUCGCCUGGGGCA
rnacentral:tRNA from 1 species